rnacentral:rRNA from 1 species
CCUACGGGAGGCAGCAGUGGGGAAUAUUGCACAAUGGGCGAAACCCUGAUCCAGCGACGCCGCGUGAGUGAAGAAGGAUCUCUGUAUUGUAAGCUCCAUUUGUAGGGAAGAAAAUGACGGUACGUGUUUCAGAAGGCACGGCUAACUACGUGCCAGCAGCGGCGGCAACACGGAGGGGGCAAGCGUUAUCCGGAUUUACUGGGAGUAAAGGGGGCGUAGGCGGCAGCACAAGUUUGGAGUGAAAUGGCGGGGCUUAACCCCGGAACUGCUUUGGAAACUGUGCAGCUAGAGUGGAGGAGAGGUAAGUGGAAUGCGUGGUGUAGCGGUGAAAUGCGUAGAUAUUAGGCAGAACACCGAUGGCGAAGGCAGCUUACUGGACUGUAACUGACGUUGAGGCACGAAAGCGUGGGGAGCGAACAGGAUUAGAUACCCCAGUAGUC